AAACCAACAGGGAUUGCCCUAGUAACGGCGAGUGAAGCGGCAACAGCUCAAAUUUGAAAGCUGGCCUUCGGGUCCGCAUUGUAAUUUGUAGAGGAUGCUUUGGGUGAAACGCCAGUCUAAGUUCCUUGGAACAGGACGUCAUAGAGGGUGAGAAUCCCGUAUGUGACUGGAAAUGUUAACCUAUGUAAAGCUCCUUCGACGAGUCGAGUUGUUUGGGAAUGCAGCUCUAAAUGGGAGGUAAAUUUCUUCUAAAGCUAAAUAUUGGCGAGAGACCGAUAGCGCACAAGUAGAGUGAUCGAAAGAUGAAAAGCACUUUGGAAAGAGAGUUAAAAAGCACGUGAAAUUGUUGAAAGGGAAGCGCUUGCAAUCAGACUUGUUUAAACUGUUCGGCCGGUCUUCUGACCGGUUUACUCAGUUUGGACAGGCCAGCAUCAGUUUCGGCGGCCGGAUAAAGGCUCUGGGAAUGUGGCCUUCACUUCGGUGAAGGUGUUAUAGCCCAGGGUGUAAUACGGCCAGCCGGGACUGAGGUCCGCGCUUCGGCUAGGAUGCUGGCGUAAUGGUUGUAAGCGAC
rnacentral:rRNA from 1 species